ensembl:lncRNA
AUUUUUUCCCCCGCUCGACUUUCGUCCUCAGCCUCGCAAAGACUCCUUAAAGCAGAAUAAAGAGUGUACUCUAGCACAAUUUAUUUGACAGUACUGUAUCUCUUACUAGUUUAAAUAUGAAAUCCUUGCUCGAAUCCCACUGAAAAAGGAACCAUUCUGGAGUAGUCCUAACAAUUAUCGGCAACACUUAAUUUUAAGGGAUCAUGUAAUUACACUGUAGCAGGUAUUACAAUGAAUUGUAAUAAUACAGUUACACUGUAAUAACAACAUGUAAUUGGUGGUCGUCUGUAAUUACAGGGAUGUAACAACGGAAUGCUUGUUACCAUGCUUGUUACAAAUGCUCAAGUUUCCUGAAAGCAUCUCAAUACCCGAACUUCAGCCUUCCGAAAUGAUUGUCACAAGGUUUCAGACGUCAGGAUGGGAAAAUGCUUACAAGAAAGAAACAGAGUUGUCAGAGACAGAGUUGGCAAUUUCCAUUGUUACUUGUAAUGUCAAAAAGGGAAGAAAAAGACAAUCCCAUUUUUCUAAAUUAGCUAUCUAAGCUAUUUACCAUACUAUAGGCUAAAGAUUUGAGACAUCACUAGAAUAAUUAUUUUUAUGUUAUUGAGAAAGCCUAUGUAUCUUCGUUUAAUCCAAUUAAUCUAUUAAUCUAACAAUAAAAUGUUGCAAUAAAGUUGACUAAAAUAGAAACUCAUAUUUUAUUUGUAAGUAUGUUUACUUGUUAAUGAGUAAUAAGUAAUAAUAUAGAAAUUGCUCAAAGGUAACUAUAAAGUUACACUUCACUUUAACACUUUAAAUAGCAAAAUCCUGUGUAACAACUAGCGACAACCUUGUACUUAUGCAGAUAUUACAGAUAUGUACUCUUUUGUGUUGUGAAGGAAAUUUUACUUUGUGUAUCUUGUCUUUGGUGUCAUAAACAAUCCUUGAUUCCUACCUAUGUCUGAUAGAGAUAUGGGGGGGCAUCAUGACCUCCUCCUUUAGACUAUUUGGCAGAACGCCCAGAAUAUGUUCUAUAAAUUAAGAUAGGAGAUGGUGCCAGACACAUGGAACCAACCCUAGAAACUAUGCAUGCCUAUCUAACGUGUCUGUAACCAGUAUAUAAGGGAACUAAACAGGAUUGUCCCAUUAGAGCUCCUGACAGACAUGUACAUAUGGUGCAUUGAGUUGGUUGGAACCUCUCCAGCGUGCUGAUAAUAAACAAUGAUUAAUUUAAGAUUGACUUUGAGUGUCCCUGUGUAAGAAUUUCCACGACAGUGUAUUAGUGUGUUUAUUUUGUCACUUGGAUGGCGCUUUCAGAAGCUUACGAUUAGAUUGUCACAAUGGGUAAUGUACUUUGUAGGUACACAAUAAUGACAAGAAAGUACACCUCAAGAUAUGUCAUUUUAACUAGCUAAAUCCUGUGUAACACCUAGUAAUAACAAUGUACGUAUGCAGAUAUUACAUGUACUCUGUGCGCUAGAGUGUUUAUUUUCUCACUUGGAUGGUGCUUCCGGAAGCCUUAAAAUAAUGUCCAGGUUGUCAGGAUGGGUAAUGUACUAUAACAGUACACAUUCAUUUCAAGUAAGUACCCCUCAAUAUACACUUCAUUUUAACUAUCUAAAUCCUGUGU